rnacentral:precursor_RNA from 1 species
CGGAGCUCCCUACCCCGACACCCGGCCAGGGCCGGGGCCUAUUCCGGGGGGGGGGGGCCUGGG